GAUGAAGAACGUAGCGAAAUGCGAUACGUAGUGUGAAUUGCAGAAUCCAGUGAAUCAUCGAAUCUUUGAACGCACAUUGCGCCCGCUGGUACUCCGGCGGGCACGCCUGUCCGAGCGUCAUUUCAACCCUCAAGCCCUCCUUCGGGAUGGGCCUGGUGUUGGGGCUCGGCCGCCAUCUCCGGCGGCCGUCCCCUAAAUACAGUGGCGGUCACGUCGCGACUCCUUUGCGUAGUAGAAACACCUCGCUCCGGAUAGCAACGCGGUCCACGCCGUAAAACCCCCAAUUUUCAAUGGUUGACCUCGGAUCAGGUGGGAAUACCCGCUGAACUUAAGCAUAUCAAUAAGCGGAGGA
rnacentral:misc_RNA from 1 species